GACGAACGCUGGCGGCGUGCUUAACACAUGCAAGUCGAACGGAAAGGCCCUGCUUUUGUGCUGUGCUCGAGUGGCGAACGGGUGCGUGACACGUGAGUAACCUGCCCUUGAUUUUGGGAUAACUUCAGGAAACUGGGGCUACUCCAGGAUAGGAGAUCCUCUACCAUUGAGGGCGUUGGAAAUUCUCGGCGGUUGGGGAUGGACUAGCGGCUUAUCAGCUUGUUGGUGGGGUAGUGGCAUACCCAGGAUUUGGAUGAUCGCCGGCCUGAGAAGGUGGACGGCCACAUGGGGACUGAGAGACGGCCCAGACUGCUACGGGAGGCAACAGGGGGGAAUAUUGCACAAUGGGCCGAAGCCUGAUGCAGCAACGCCGGGGUCGGGAAGACGGCCUGCGGGGUAUAAACAGCUUUAGCCUGUGACGAAGCGUUUGUGACGGUAAUGGGUAAAGAAGCACCGGCUAACUACGUG
rnacentral:rRNA from 1 species